rnacentral:rRNA from 1 species
GACGUAGGGCGCGAGCGUUGUCCGGAUUUAUUGGGCGUAAAGAGCUCGUAGGCGGCUUGUUGCGUCAGCUGUGAAAACCCGCAGCUCAACUGUGGGCUGGCAGCUGAUACGGGCAGGCUAGAGUUCGGUAGGGGAGACUGGAAUUCCUGGUGUAGCGGUGAAAUGCGCAGAUAUCAGGAGGAACACCGGUGGCGAAGGCGGGUCUCUGGGCCGAUACUGACGCUGAGGAGCGAAAGCGUGAGGAGCGAACAGG